rnacentral:rRNA from 1 species
GCCGCAGUAAUUUGACUGUGCGAAGGUAGCAUAAUCAUUAGUCUUUUAAUUGAAGGCUUGUAUGAAUGGUUGGAUGAGAGAUAAGCUGUCUCUUAUAUAAAGUUGAAUUUAACUUUUAAGUGAAAAGGCUUAAAUAAAUUAGGGGGACGAUAAGACCCUAUAAAACUUUAUAUCAUUAAGCAUAAGUUAUAAAUAGUGUAAAAAAUAGUUUUUUUUUAAUGAUAUUUUAUUGGGGCGAUAAAAAUAUAAUUGUAACUGUUUUAUGAAAAAUAUACUAAUAAGUAGAAAUUGAUCCUUAAUUAAAGAUUAAAAGAUUAAGUUACUUUAGGGAUAACAGCGUAAUUUUCUUUGAGAGUUCUUAUCGAUAAGAGUAGUUGCGACCUCGAUGUUGAAUUAAAAUUUCAGCUGGGUGAAGCAUUUCAGCUGGUAGGUCUGUUCGACCUUUAAAAUU